GCCUCGGUGGCGUAGUGGUCAAGACGCUCGCCUGGUAAUCAGGAGGGCGUGGGUUCGAUCCCAGCCGAGGCC
rnacentral:tRNA from 1 species